rnacentral:rRNA from 1 species
GUCCUAGCCGUAAACGAUGCAGACUAGGUGGAGGCAGGUUUUCCUGUCUCUGCCGCAGCUAACGCAUUAAGUCUGCCGCCUGGGGAGUACGGCCGCAAGGUUAAAACUCAAAGGAAUUGACGGGGGCUCGCACAAGCGGUGGAGCAUGUGGUUCAAUUCGAUGCAACGCGAAGAACCUUACCCGGGCUUGAAGUGAGGGUGGUAGAAACCGGAAACGGUAACGACCCCGCAAGGGGAGCCUUCAUCAGGUGUUGCAUGGCUGUCGU